AAGUCGUAACAAGGUCUCCGUUGGUGAACCAGCGGAGGGAUCAUUACCGAGUGCCCCUGGCUCGAACCCACUGUGAACUUUUCUAGUUAGUUACCGUUCCGUGCCUCGGCGGUCUAAACCUGGCUAGUCCAGGCCGCCGGGGCUUCAGAUCGGCGCAAGCUCUUGUAUUCUGGUUGAAUCUAGGUGUUUUUACCAAACGUAAAAACUUUCAGCAACGGAUCUCUUGGUUCUG
rnacentral:misc_RNA from 1 species